rnacentral:rRNA from 1 species
GACAGAGGAUGCAAGCGUUAUCCGGAAUGAUUGGGCGUAAAGCGUCUGUAGGUGGCUUUUCAAGUUCGCCGUCAAAUCCCAGGGCUCAACCCUGGACAGGCGGUGGAAACUACCAAGCUGGAGUACGGUAGGGGCAGAGGGAAUUUCCGGUGGAGCGGUGAAAUGCGUAGAGAUCUGGAAGAACACCAAAGGCGAAGGCAGCGUCCUGGGAAGUGACUGACGCUCAUGUGCGAAAGCUAGGGGAGCGAACGGG